UACAGAGGGGGCAAGCGUUGUUCGGAAUUAAUGGGAGUAAAGGGUGCGUAGGCGGCUAUUGAAAGUUGACUGUGAAAUCUCCGGGCUUAACCCGGAAAGGUCAGCCGAUACUGCGGGGCUAGAGUGCAGAAGGGGCAACUGGAAUUCUCGGUGUAGCGGUGAAAUGCGUAGAUAUCGAGAGGAACACCUGCGGCGAAGGCGGGUUGCUGGGCUGACACUGACGCUGAUGCGCGAAAGCUAGGGGAGCGAACGGG
rnacentral:rRNA from 1 species